GACGAACGCUGGCGGCGUGCUUAACACAUGCAAGUCGAACGGAAAGGCCCUGCUUUUGUGGGGUGCUCGAGUGGCGAACGGGUGAGUAACACGUGAGUAACCUGCCCUUGACUUUGGGAUAACUUCAGGAAACUGGGGCUAAUACCGGAUAGGAGCUCCUGCUGCAUGGUGGGGGUUGGAAAGUUUCGGCGGUUGGGGAUGGACUCGCGGCUUAUCAGCUUGUUGGUGGGGUAGUGGCUUACCAAGGCUUUGACGGGUAGCCGGCCUGAGAGGGUGACCGGCCACAUUGGGACUGAGAUACGGCCCAGACUCCUACGGGAGGCAGGAGUGGGGAAUAUUGCACGAUGGGCGGAAGCCUGAUGCAGCAACGCCGCGUGCGGGAUGACGGCCUUCGGGUUGUAAACCGCUUUCGCCUGUGACGAAGCGUGAGUGACGGUAAUGGGUAAAGAAGCACCGGCUAACUACGUG
rnacentral:rRNA from 1 species